AUUGAACGCUGGCGGCAGGCCUAACACAUGCAAGUCGAACGAGUGGCGGACGGGUGAGUAAUGUCUGGGAAACUGCCCGAUGGAGGGGGAUAACUACUGGAAACGGUAGCUAAUACCGCAUACCAUCGGAUGUGCCCAGAUGGGAUUAGCUAGUAGGUGGGGUAACGGCUCACGUAGGCGACGGUCCCUAGCUGGUCGGAGCAGAUGACCAGCAAGACGGGAACUGGGACACGGUCCAGACGCCAACGUGAGGCAGAAGUGGGGAAUAUGGCACAAGGGGCGCAAGCCUGGUGCAGCCAUGCCGCGUGUAUGAAGAAGGCCUUCGGGUUGUAAAGUACUUUCAGCGAGGAGGCGUUACUCGCAGAAGAAGCACCGGCUAACUCCGUGCCAGCAGCCGCGGUGAUUC
rnacentral:rRNA from 1 species